rnacentral:lncRNA from 1 species
UCUUAACCCCAUUAUUAUUGAUGCAUUCAUAGCUGUCCAUCCACUUCUUUGUUUCAAGUCCCCCACUUCCUAAACCUUACCCCUCUUUUUAUAUAUUCUCCUCCUUUUCCAUUCAUUGUCCACUACUCUCUCAAUUUCUCAUCUUUUCUCUCCUACAAAGUACAAACAUCUCUUCCCUUUCCAAACUCCAAAACCUCUCUCCAUCACAAAAAUGGCUUCCUAUGCAGCAGUACAAGUUUUUCUCAUCUUAGGUCUUCUAGCCACCUCUUGUUUUGCACAAGCACCAGGUGCUGCACCAACACAACCACCAUCAGCAACCCCAACUCCACCAACCCCAGCACCUGUAGCUACUCCACCCACAGCCACUCCACCAACAGCUACUCCUCCAACAGCCACACCACCACCAGCAGCUGCUCCCACUCCAGCCACUCCUGCACCAGCAACUUCCCCUCCAGCACCAACACCUACUUCUGAUGCACCCACUCCAGAUUCUACUUCCUCCUCUCCUCCAGCACCCGGUCCCGGUGGUCCAGCACCCGGUCCCGGCAGUACUGAU